AUUGAACGCUGGCGGCAGGCCUAACACAUGCAAGUCGAGCGGUAGCACAGAGAGCUUGCUCUCGGGUGACGAGUGGCGGACGGGUGAGUAAUGUCUGGGAAACUGCCCGAUGGAGGGGGAUAACUACUGGAAACGGUAGCUAAUACCGCAUAACGUCGCAAGACCAAAGUGGGGGACCUUCGGGCCUCACACCAUCGGAUGUGCCCAGAUGGGAUUAGCUAGUAGGUGGGGUAAUGGCUCACCUAGGCGACGAUCCCUAGCUGGUCUGAGAGGAUGACCAGCCACACUGGAACGGAGACACGGUCCAGACUCCUACGGGAGGCAGCAGUGGGGAAUAUUGCACAAUGGGCGCAAGCCUGAUGCAGCCAUGCCGCGUGUAUGAAGAAGGCCUUCGGGUUGUAAAGUACUUUCAGCGGGGAGGAAGGCGGUGAAGUUAAUAACUUCACCGAUUGACGUUACCCGCAGAAGAAGCACCGGCUAACUCCGUGCCAGCCGCCGCAGUAAUAC
rnacentral:rRNA from 1 species